GUGAAUCAUCGAAUUUUUGAACGCAAAUUGCACUCUCUGGUAUUCCGGAGAGUAUGCCUGUUUGAGGGUAAGUAUUAAUAACAAUCGGGGUGUUGCUCCUUUGUGACGCUCCGGAGUUUGGGUAAUUUUAAUAUCUUUUAGGUAAUAAGCGGAAAAAAAUUGACUCUUUUUGAGCAUUUUAGAUGAACUUAAAUUAUUUUUUUUAUUCGUCUGUCUUAAUGAUACAUAUCCUUUUAGAUGCGACCUGAUCGUGAGGUUUCGG
rnacentral:misc_RNA from 1 species